rnacentral:rRNA from 1 species
AGCAGCCGCGGUAAUUCCAGCUCCAAUAGCGUAUAUUAAAGUUGUUGCAGUUAAAAAGCUCGUAGUUGAAUUUCGGGGUUAGUAGGCUGGUCGUGCCACUGGUACGUACUGGUCUCACUGAUUCCUCCUUCCUGAUGAACUGUAAUGCCAUUAAUUUGGUGUUGCAGGGAAACUGGACUGUUACUUUGAAAAAAUUAGAGUGUUUAAAGCAAGCUAACGCUUGAAUACAUUAGCAUGGAAUAAUGAAAUAGGACGUUCGAUCCUAUUUUGUUGGUUUCUAGGAUUGACGUAAUGAUUAAUAGGGAUAGUUGGGGGGCAUUAGUAUUCAAUUGUCAGAGGUGAAAUUCUUGGAUUUAUUGAAGACUAACUACUGCGAAAGCAUUUGCCAAGGAUGUUUUCAUUAAUCAAGAACGAAAGUUAGGGGAUCGAAGACGAUCAGAUACCGUCGUAGUCUUAACCAUAAACUAUGCCGACUAGGGAUCGGAUGAUGUUAAUUUUUUUAAUGACUCAUUGCGCGCUU